rnacentral:rRNA from 1 species
AGCGAACGCUGGCGGCAGGCUUAACACAUGCAAGUCGAACGCCCCGCAAGGGAGUGGCAGACGGGUGAGUAACACGUGGGAACGUACCCUUUGGUUCGGAAUAACUUGGGGAAACUCAAGCUAAUACCGGAUAAGCCCUUAUGGGGAAAGGUUUACUGCCGAAGGAUCGGCCCGCGUCUGAUUAGCUAGUUGGUGAGGUAAUGGCUCACCAAGGCGACGAUCAGUAGCUGGUCUGAGAGGAUGAUCAGCCACACUGGGACUGAGACACGGCCCAGACUCCUACGGGAGGCAGCAGUGGGGAAUAUUGGACAAUGGGGGCAACCCUGAUCCAGCCAUGCCGCGUGAGUGAUGAAGGCCUUAGGGUUGUAAAGCUCUUUUACCCGGGACGAUAAUGACUGUACCGGGAGAAUAAGCCCCGGCUAACUUCGUGCCAGCAGCCGCCGUAA